rnacentral:rRNA from 1 species
GACGAACGCUGGCGGCGUGCUUAACACAUGCAAGUCGAACGGAAAGUCCCUGCUUUUGUGGGGUGCUCGAGUGGCGAACGGGUGAGUAACACGUGAGUAACCUGCCCUUGACUUUGGGAUAACUUCAGGAAACUGGGGCUAAUACCGGAUAGGAGCUCCUGCUGCUUGGUGGGGGUUGGAAAGUUUAGGCGGUUGGGAAUGGACUCGCGCCGUAUCAGCUUGUUGGGGGGGUAGUGGCUUACCAAGGCCUGGACGGGUAGCCUGCCUGCGAGGGUGACCGGACACACUGGGCCUGGGAUACGGCACAGACUCGUACGGGAGGCAGCAGUGGGGAAGAGUACACAAUGGGCGGAAGCCUGAUGCAGCACCGCCGCGUGGGGGAUGACGGCAUUCGGGUUGUAAACCGCUUCCGCCUGUGACGAAGCGCGAGUGACGGUAAUGGGUAAAGAAGCACCGGCUAACUACGUG